rnacentral:rRNA from 1 species
GGGUCUCCGGGGGUGACGAUCAGCUGCUGCACGCCCGGGGCGUGCAGUUCACAGAUCAAACGCGGGUGGCCUGCGCUCGCAGGUUGAGAUAUGACCGUAGCAGCUCCGCCAGGAGUCCUGGCAUGCUAGUUCCGUAGGUGAACCUGCGGAAGGAUCAUUA